CCUACGGGUGGCACCAGUGGGGAAUAUUGCACAAUGGGCGCAAGCCUGAUGCAGCCAUGCCGCGUGUAUGAAGAAGGCCUUCGGGUUGUAAAGUACUUUCAGCGGGGAGGAAGGUGUUGUGGUUAAUAACCACAGCAAUUGACGUUACCCGCAGAAGAAGCACCGGCUAACUCCGUGCCAGCAGCCGCGGUAAUACGGAGGGUGCAAGCGUCAAUCGGAAUUACUGGGCGUAAAGCACACGCAGGCGGUCUGUCAGGUCGGAUGUGAAAUCCCCGGGCUCAACCUGGGAACUGCAUUCGAAACUGGCAGGCUAGAGUCUUGUAGAGGGGGGUAGAUUUCCAGGUGUAGCGGUGAAAUGCGUAGAGAUCUGGAGGAAUACCGGUGGCGAAGGCGGCCCCCUGGACAAAGACUGACGCUCAGGUGCGAAAGCGUGGGGAGCAAACAGGAUUAGAUACCCCCGUAGUC
rnacentral:rRNA from 1 species